GGGGGGGGGACACUGGCCCGUGACCUCAUGCACCUCCAGCGGCCUGAUAUCCUGCCUUUGAAGCCCUCCCGAGCCUGGAGUUUUUCAGGUGUUCCCAAGGAAGGUGCCUGGAAUCACCCCCUCCCUCAGUGAGCCACGGCUGCCACGUGGGGCCAUCCAGAGAGGUCAGGGCGCCGCUGAGCACGUGGGGCGGGAGUUGGAGGCGGUGGCAGAUGGCACUGGCUCCCGCUUAGCGCUCCCGGCAAACGCCGGGCUGUGGGGACCAGGGCCAGGCCGGGCGGACGGCACACAGGGAAGACGGACCCGGGGGGCCGCAGUGUGGACGGCCGAGCCCCCCUGGGCUGUGCAAACAUGCAGCAAACCCACGGGUGGUGUCGGGAAAGCGGUCUACUGCGCCCAGAGGCCACAGGGAAGUUUCCAGAUGGACAUCCUAUAAAGAGCAUUGGGAUGGGCAGGGCCGCCUCGGGUUAGAGCCCAGAUGUCUGUGAGCACCGCCUCCCCCUGUGGCAAACCUCUCACGGCCACGUUGGAGGCAGAGUCCCAGGCAGGUCCCCGUAGCUCUGACACACGGACGCGCACCUCCCCGGGGGGGGGGGGGGGGGGCUGGGACCUCUCCCUCCCUGUCACCCGGCCCUUGGGGGACAUCUGGGGUGCUGGCCGGGACACACGGCCAGACAGGCGCUUGGGGGCCGGGGUCCCCCAGGGGCGGGGCCUCUCGGUGCUUGUUCACGUCUGUAGAGGCCAAGGUUGAGGCCCAGCUGGGAAACGGCUCAGAGCAGCCGCCUAGAGUCUGGUCAAGGACAACACCUUUGUCCCCUGGCCCCCAGUAUUCACAGUCCCCCAGCAACGCCCACCAGCAGAGGCCGCGUUGUCAGGAUCCCGGUCAGCCGAACGCAGGACCCACAGCCCCCAAGCCACAGGCCCAGCCACAGCCUCUCGAUGACUUGCUCCCAGAGGUCGACCUGCAACCACUGAAUUCAGUUUUGUGAGCAGGGUCUAGCUCAGCUUCCAGAGUGAACAUGGCCAGCAGGGGCCAGGUGGGAGGGGGCCAGAGAGGAGCCCUGCCGCAGAGAUCCUGCACGGCAGGGUCAGGGGUCAAGGCCGUGACACAGGGGGAAGGGUGGGCAGAGGCAUUAACCCUGGUCCGUCCACCUCACCCACGGACCCAAGUCCCCAGAGGCACGUAUGCGGCCUCCUUGUCGUCCACGUUGCCAGCCCCACGCCCGUCACAGGCCCCGGAAGCGACGCAGAGGGGCGGCAAUGGGGCGCGUGGAGAGGGAAACGAGCCGACGAGCCAGGGAAGAGACGGACGGCCAUCUGAAGGGACAGGAGAGGGGACACGAGAGGGACCACGAGACGGCGGAACGGGACACAGCUGACACUGGAAGAAGCAGCCCCGGAAACCUUCGAUCUUACCGGCUGGAGGACCCAGAGAACAACGUUGGAGGCAGCCUGGGGAACUGGCCAGGGCAGGGGAGUCCCAGAAAGGAGGGGGAGCCCCGAAUCUGCGUGUGUGCCCCGCUCAUCUCUCUGCAGGCUCCUGGGACAGAAUGUGCACCCAGCCUGGCCCACAGGGAAGGAGCAGACCUUUCUGUCCCAGCAAACAAACCAUAUCCUUUCCUCCGUGGACCUCGGCAUUUGUAAGGGGCCCCAAAGUGUCCUGACUUCUCUGACCCAAACUGCAGGGGCAGUGUCCAGUCCCCGCCAUUCCUGCGGGGUCUCCUGCGGGAUCUCCUGGGGUCACACGGGUGCUGGACGUAUAUGGCUCAAGCAAGGAAAUGAGCAGCCACGGUUCCGGGAAUUCACGAAGGCUGAGCGAGCCUACAACUCUCUGCCAGCACCGCCGAUGCGCACCACGAGCGGGAGACCUGGCCACGGAGGAGCGCGUGGGCUCGGGUGGGCUCCCCUCCACGCGUGUGGCAGCGCCCACGGACGGGCCCGUCCGCUCCGCCGGAUUGUGUGGGGUCAGCGCUGCGCUGCGGCCCAGCCUCUGCGGCCACUCCCGCUCCACGUGUGGCCCUGCUGUCCCCUCUGGGCUCAGGUUCGGCGUGGCUGAACCGAGCUCCCACGGGCCGGGCGGCUUAGCGCAUCAGAGGCGUGUUCUUGCGGCCCUGGCUGCCCUCCUGGAGGACCCAUCCCUGCCUCCCCGAGCCUCUGGGGAGGCGGGCGAUCCGGGGUGUCCUGGGCUUACAGACGCAUCACCUCCCCUCUGCCUGCAAGGACACCUGGCCCGCCCGUGGCCAGCAUGGCCCCAUCUCCAGGACAUCUUCGAAGACCUCGUUCCCAAAUCAGGUCACGUUCUGAGCUUCUGAGAGUGAGGACUCAGUUUUGGAGACUGGUUGCGUGGGAACAUGACAUUUUUGGUGCCAAAGCCACAGAGAAUGCACAAGAGCUCACCAACAUUAAGAUCAAGG